rnacentral:rRNA from 1 species
GACGAACGCUGGCGGCGUGCUUAACACAUGCAGGUCGAACGGUAAGGCCCUUCGGGGUACACGAGUGGCGAACGGGUGAGUAACACGUGGGUGAUCUGCCCUGCACUUCGGGAUAAGCCUGGGAAACUGGGUCUAAUACCGGAUAGGACCCUGGGAUGCAUGUCCUGGGGUGGAAAGCUUUUGCGGUGUGGGAUGGGCCCGCGGCCUAUCAGCUUGUUGGUGGGGUGAUGGCCUACCAAGGCGACGACGGGUAGCCGGCCUGAGAGGGUGACCGGCCACACUGGGACUGAGAUAUGGCACAGACUCGUACGGGAGGCAGCAGUGGGGAAUAUUGCACAAUGGGCGCAAGCCUGAUGCAGCGACGCCGCGUGAGGGAUGACGGCCUUCGGGUUGUAAACCUCUUUCAGCACCGACGAAGCGCAAGUGACGGUAGGUGCAGAAGAAGGACCGGCCAACUACGUGCCAGCAGCCGCCGUAA